AAAAACAUGUCCUUUUGUUUUAUAUAUAAGGUCUAACCUGCCCAAUGAUUUUAUUUAAUGGCCGCGGUAUAUUAACUGUGCUAAGGUAGCAUAAUCAUUUGUCUUUUAAUUAAAGGCUAGAAUGAAUGGUUGGACGAGGUAUUUUCUUUCUUUAAUUUAGUUAAUGAACUUAAUUUUUUAGUUAAAAAGCUAAAAUUUAUUUGGGGGACGAGAAGACCCUAUAGAUCUUUAUAUCUUUCUUUAUUAUAUAUUUUAGAUAUAUUAAUUGUUUUAAUAAUUUAAGGUAUUUGAUUGGGGUGAUUAUAGAAUUUAAAUUAACUUCUAUUUUAUUUAUUCAUUAAUUAAUGUUUUUUUGAUCCAAUAUUAUUGAUUAUAAGAUUAAGUUACCUUAGGGAUAACAGCGUAAUUCCUUUGGAGAGCUCAUAUCGAUGAAGGAGUUUGCGACCUCGAUGUUGGAUUAAAAUAAGUUUUAGGUGUAGAAGCUUAAAAACUAGGUCUGUUCGACCUUUGAUUUUUUACAUGAUCUGAGUUCAAACCGG
rnacentral:rRNA from 1 species